UUUUGCACAAUGGACGAAAGUCUGAUGCAGCAACGCCGCGUGGAGGAUGAAGGUCUUCGGAUUGUAAACUUCUGUUAAUUGGGCCCCCCCAGUUAAGGGUGAAUAUCCCUUAAAUAUGACGUUACCAGCUUAGAAAGCUCCGGCUAACUUCGUGCCAGCAGCCGCGGUAAUACGAAGGGAGCGAGCGUUAUUCGGAAUGAUUGGGCGUAAAGGGCGCGUAGGCGGCGCAAUAAGUUUUUUGUUUAAUUUCCUGGCCUAACCAGGAGCAUGCAAGAAAUACUGUUGUGCUAGAGUUUAAUAGAGGAAAGUGGAAUUCUCGGAGUAGCGGUUAAAUGCGUAGAUCUCGAGAGGAACGCCGAUGGCGAAAGCAGCUUUCUGAUUAUAACGACGCGAGGCGCGAAG
rnacentral:rRNA from 1 species